UUUUAGUCAUCCAAACCAAAAAAAAAUUGUCUUAAUUUUCAUGUUUUAACCAAAAUUAUAAAAAAAUGAGAUUUUUAGCUAGUUCAGGACCUAAGCACAACACAGUGCUGUCAAGGUAAUAUUGGACUCAUCACGAGUUCAAUAAUGUGAUUAAAAUUAUUUAUUUGUAUAGGUUUCAUUGAGUAUAUUAUUUAUAAAAAAAUCAGAUUAAUCAGAUAUUGAUUGAUACCUGAUCGAGUCACGUUUCUUUUAAAGAAAUGAAUGCAAGUAUAAUUUUAAAAAUAAAUGUUAAAACAAAUAUUAAAACAAAUGUAGUUCAAUCAUAUGCGUUGUUAUAAAUAGACGAUCAAAUUAAUUUUUUAAUAUAAAUAUUAUAUUUAACGAAUUCUAUAAAAUAAACGAUUUUAAUGAUCACGUUACUAAGUUCGCAGUGAGCCACACAUUGCUAACACGAUUUUGAUGAUCACGUUACUAAAUGGUUGAAAAAGCAACAGAAAUUCAAUGCCACGUCUCUAAUCUAUUGAUAGCGUCUGUCCAAAAACUAGUAUAGUGGUAAAAUUGUCCUUUCGAUAGAGUUGGCCAAAUAAAAAACUCCUAAAACGACUUCUGGGACCACCGACAGCUGGGGCCGGCUGGCGGGACCCGCCACGGCACAUUGGAUUCCGGGUGGGGCUACUAAAAGAGAAUUUAUUUCGUGCACCCGGAGGUAUGCUCAAGACUUCUACAACCGCACAUUUGUAUAGAGAAUGCCCCGGCACUUUGGAUUCCGGGUGGGGCUACUAAAAGAGAAUUUAUUUGGUGCACCCGGAGGAAUGCUCAAGACUUCUACAACCGCACUUAAGAGAAAUAAUGAGAAAGAGAAGCCAUUUAUUGAGGCACUUAUGUUUCUAAAAAAAAUGAAAUUUUUUUUAUGAAAAAUAAUGAGAAACAAAAUUGAUUAGCUAUAUAUGUAUUUUCAUAUAUCGAAUUUUUCAAGGAUAGAAUUAGAUUUUUAGUGUAGUGAAGGCGAAUAUCUAAAAUCAUACGUUUUUUACCACCGGGAGAUCAACCUACUAUCACAUAGGCAUAGCAGAUCUAAAUGGCCUCAAUUGACUUGACCUACUGUUGAUCUACGUGGUGUUUUGGAAAGGACACAACUUCUCUGAAGUUUUGUUGCUUGGACUGCAUAAUCCAAGCAUUUUGGGGCUAAUUUUGAAUCUAUUUUGAUGAUCUAAAUCAUUCAUAUUAUAAAUUAUAUCAUAAAAAAUCAUUUUAAUCGGAUACAAAUCGAUACAUGUUAUACAUAUUAUCUUCAUAUAAAUUGAUAUUAAUCAACCAUUAAUUUAUAUUCGAUCAAUGUAUUUUUUUAUAUUAGUAAAAAUUUAGAUAAAGUCUACAAUAUGAACGGUUUGAUUCAUCAAAAUAAACUCAAAAUAAAACCUAAAAUAUUUGGAAUGCACUUGUACAAUCUAAAAUUGGACUUGAGAUAAUCCUGAUCCUUUGGAAAUGAAUGUUGGGGGAGGGUCCUAGGAUUUGGGACCACUGUUACCAACCCACCGGACAUGUAAAACACAAUCAUAUUUGGUUUCUUUCCUAAGCACCCAAAAAAAAAUUAAAUUAAAUAUUUGGUAAGCAAUAUAUUAUAUGCUAUCAUUUUGCUUCUGUAUAUAGUUGAAAAAUGCUAAUAGUGCAUAAAAAUGUACUUAAAAGUGCUGGAAAAAUACCUGAGAAUAUCCAAAAAUGCAUUGAUUUUAGUAUAAAAAAACUUGGAAAAUAAUAAGAAAAAUUUAAUCCUUUAAUCCUGUUUGCUUUUAUUAUUUUCUUAUCUUUUCCUUUGUCUUCUUCUCUAUAAAUCCCAUCACAAAUCUUUGGUCUAAAAUAAUAUAAACUCAUUUAUAGAAGCUGAUGGGUGUUGUAAAAAUAAAAAUAAAAAGAAGCUGGUUUUGGACUAAUUCUAAUUCUAACCGAACAAGAUGCAAGCAUUGUGUGCAAAAACACCUAUUAUGAGAGAGUCCAACACCCAUUAUGAAAUGAGCCAUGAAACAAUUAUAGAAUCAAAAGCAAUGAUAGAAAUGCCACAGUACCAUGUCUCGAUAUUGAACCUGUGAAGGGAAAGGGAAAGGGAAACGAUAGGCCAACCUGUGACAUUACGAGGCUUAGGCUCCAUUUGGUAAUGUUUGAAAAUUAAAUUUUUUUUAAGUUUGUUAUUAAAAAGGUCAAGAUUUUUUAAUUUUUUGACUUUUUUUGCUUUAUUUUUAACUAAACUAAGCCAAAAAAAUAAAAACAGAAAAACAAAAAAGGCAAUUUUGAUUGAUUUUUUUGUUUAUUAUAAGCAAAAAAAUCAAAAAAAAACUAAAAAAAAAUUAUUACCAAACGGAGACUUAAGGUCAUAUUUGGAGGCUUUAUUUUCAAAUAUAUUUUAACUUUUAUGCUAUUAUUUUCUACGUAAAAAUCAAUCAUCAACAGUUAAUAAACUUAUUAUUUUGGAUACGACGACCUUUUUUCAAAAAGUUAUACACGU
rnacentral:lncRNA from 1 species